rnacentral:rRNA from 1 species
UACAUCGGAACGUGCCCAAUUGUGGGGGAUAACGCAGCGAAAGCUGUGCUAAUACCGCAUACGAUCUACGGAUGAAAGCAGGGGAUCGCAAGACCUUGCGCGAAUGGAGCGGCCGAUGGCAGAUUAGGUAGUUGGUGAGGUAAAGGCUCACCAAGCCUUCGAUCUGUAGCUGGUCUGAGAGGACGACCAGCCACACUGGGACUGAGACACGGCCCAGACUCCUACGGGAGGCAGCAGGU